GUCGAACGAUGAUCUUAGCUUGCUGGGGGAUUAGUGGCGAACGGGUGAGUAACACGUGAGUAACCUGCCCUUAAGUCUGGGAUAAGCCUGAGAAAUUGGGUCUAAUACCGGAUAUGACCUUCCAUCGCAUGGUGGGGGGUGGAAAGCUUUUGUGCUUUUGGAUGGACUCGCGGCCUAUCAGCUUGUUGGUGGGGUAAUGGCCUACCAAGGCGACGACGGGUAGCCGGCCUGAGAGGGUGACCGGCCACACUGGGACUGAGACACGGCCCAGACUCCUACGGGAGGCAGCAGUGGGGAAUAUUGCACAAUGGGCGGAAGCCUGAUGCAGCGACGCCGCGUGAGGGAUGACGGCCUUCGGGUUGUAAACCUCUUUCAGUAGGGAAGAAGCGUAAGUGACGGUACCUGCAGAAGAAGCGCCGGCUAACUACGUGCCAGCAGCCGCGGUAAUACGUAGGGCGCAAGCGUUAUCCGGAAUUAUUGGGCGUAAAGAGCUCGUAGGCGGUUUGUCGCGUCUGCCGUGAAAGUCCGGGGCUCAACCCCGGAUCUGCGGUGGGUACGGGCAGACUAGAGUGAUGUAGGGGAGACUGGAAUUCCUGGUGUAGCGGUGAAAUGCGCAGAUAUCAGGAGGAACACCGAUGGCGAAGGCAGGUCUCUGGGCAUUAACUGACGCUGAGGAGCGAAAGCAUGGGGAGCGAACAGGAUUAGAUACCCUGGUAGUCCAUGCCGUAAACGUUGGGCACUAGGUGUGGGGGACAUUCCACGUUUUCCGCGCCGUAGCUAACGCAUUAAGUGCCCCGCCUGGGGAGUACGGCCGCAAGGCUAAAACUCAAAGGAAUUGACGGGGGCCCGCACAAGCGGCGGAGCAUGCGGAUUAAUUCGAUGCAACGCGAAGAACCUUACCAAGGCUUGACAUGGAUUAGACAGGCGCAGAGAUGUGUUUUCCCUUCGGGGCUGGUUCACAGGUGUGCAUGGUUGUCGUCAGCUCGUGUCGUGAGAUGUUGGGUUAAGUCCCGCAACGAGCGCAACCCUCGUUCUAUGUUGCCAGCACGUGAUGGUGGGGACUCAUAGGAGACUGCCGGGGUCAACUCGGAGGAAGGUGGGGACGACGUCAAAUCAUCAUGCCCCUUAUGUCUUGGGCUUCACGCAUGCUACAAUGGCCGGUACAAAGGGUUGCGAUACUGUGAGGUGGAGCCAAUCCCAAAAAGCCGGUCUCAGUUCGGAUUGGGGUCUGCAACUCGACCCCAUGAAGUUGGAGUCGCUAGUAAUCGCAGAUCAGCAACGCUGCGGUGAAUACGUUCCCGGGCCUUGUACACACCGCCCGUCAAGUCACGAAAGUUGGUAACACCCGAAGCCGGUGGCCUAACCC
rnacentral:rRNA from 1 species